rnacentral:rRNA from 1 species
GGGAAUUGUUCGCAAUGGGCGCAAGCCUGACGACGCAACGCCGCGUGGAGGAUGAAGAUCUUCGGGUCGUAAACUCCUGUCGAAUGGGACGAACGGAUCGCGUGUGAACAACACGUGGUCGUGACGGUACCGUUAAAGGAAACCCCGGCUAACUCCGUGCCAGCAGCCGCGGUAAUACGUAGGGUCCAAGCGUUAUCCGGAAUUACUGGGCGUAAAGCGUGUGUAGGCGGGAGUUUAAGUGCAAUGCGAAAUCUUGUGGCUCAACCAUAUAGACUGUAUUGCAUACUGGACACCUUGAGGAUGGCAGAGGCAAGUGGAAUUUGUAGUGUAGCAGUAAAAUGCGUAGAUAUUACAAGGAACACCAAUGGCGAAGGCAGCUUGCUGGGCCAUAUCUGACGCUGAGACACGAAAGCGUGGGGAGCGAAC